rnacentral:lncRNA from 10 species
GUUACAUUCAUCCAGAUAUUUUCCAAGAUUGAAGAAACAAACGGCUGGGAAAGGAAUUAUCUAGAUUCCAGCACUAGAGAAAGCAGCAGCCCUAAAAGAUGUGUCAGGACAAGGAGCAAGGCCAUGUACAUUAGGGACUCUCACGUGCCCUCACCACUGCAGCAGCAUUUUAGUCCAGCUAAGCCCAUGGCCAGGCUGCAAGGCAGAAAUGUCAGUUUCAUUGCAGCAGCUCAGCUUCAGGCACAGAUCUCUAGAGGAUGUUUUAAGUGGACCUUUUUGUCUGGAAAAAGUGCCCUGGGAUGAUUUUUUUUUUUUUUUUUUUUGAUGAUUUACUUAGGUAGUUCCAGCAGUCUCUGCAGCUCUAGGAGGCAAUUAGUCAAAUGACGUCCCAAUCCUGCCACCAGCUAGUGUAUUUCAGUAGACAACUCUUUCUCAUCUAAUUCAGGUGGCAGUGGAGAAACUUCCCACUGUUUCUCCUUUGAACCCAGCUGGACACCACCCUGAAGUUCCAGUACAUGGAGAUAGCCAGUAAAUGAACAAUUGAUGACCUGUGUUGAAGAGAGAGGGCAUGUUGCCUAGGGUCCCCCUGCUUCUGGUAGGCAGCUGCAGAAGGUGAAGAUGCAGCACUGAGGAGGCAGGAGGAGGGCUGACCACCAGCUCCCGGCAUGUCCCCAGCACCAAGUGGCCCAGAGAGAGCCCAGGAUGCGCACGCAGGUGGAUGCUCCGCGUGCUGCCCUAGCGGGUGCCUCAGGACCCUUUGACAUUUCAGUACCAGAAAUCAAAUGUCGCUUCAGAAGCCCGGCCCUCCAAAGAUGUCACAAUCCAACCUCCCACACGCACAGGAGAACAGCGCGUUUGGAGGGAUGAAGUAACUCACCAAGGUCACGCAGUCCUGCAGAGCCAGGAUCCCAACCCAGGAAGUCCUCAGAGCCGGCCCUCGCCACCGACUCCCUGGAGAUGAAGAAGCUGAUAUGCAGAAAGGGGCUAAACAAUUUCUUCAAACCACACAGCUCCUAAACGAGAGUGAUGAUGGAAAACCCUUGAAGGAAGGACACUUUUCCUACAUGUGACUACUCAUUCAUCACCCAGGCUCAUCCAGCAGACCUCAUCUGCACCAGGCAUAAGGACACAAGGGAACUCAUGAAGCAUGCCUCUGCCCUUCGAGAAGCCCUAAUCUCAAGGCUCUUGGCCCUUCCUGGGAUCCUUUUGAAGAUCUGAUGAAACCCUGAACUCUCUUCCCGGAAACACAAGCACAUCAAAUGGUAAAAAUAUGGGCAAAGUGAUGAGGUGGAGAAUGGACACUCUCUCUCCCUUCUGGCCACAACUCAAUUCCCCCAGGCUGUCUAAGUGCAUCCUACUUCUCCUUUGUCACAUUCAUCAGUCAUCACGUCACACUCAUUGUGAAGUAUUCUCAUUAUCAUUGCGUCUUGCAUGCCAGUAGACUGAAAGCUCCCUGACUGCAGAAUGAACCAACGAAUGAACCUAUUUGCACCUAUUUGGGAAUCUACUUGCACCUAUUUGGGAAUCUACAGAUGCUGCGUUUUUAUCCCAUGGAGGUAUUUUUGACAACCAUAAGGAAGGUGAAGUUCAGAGACAGGCAGCCACUAACUUGCAGGAUACAGCUGUAAAGAUGAGUGGGGGAUUUAACCAACCCAAAUGUGACUGAUUGUAGAGUUGUCCCAACCAUCUGGAACCUUGCGGCCCCACACAGAUCACCAUUGACAUGCAUUACCCAAGUUAUGGAGUGAUUGGUACUCUCUUCUUGCAUGUUAACCCAAUACAACCAGCCAGAUAUCCUUAAAGAAAAAGAAGCGAGAGGGGCUGUAGCAGACAGGAGAUGUGGUCUUAAAAUGGAGAGGAUGGCUAGGUCCACUUUAAGGGGAUUUAGAAGGUGACUGCAGAUCUGUGCAAUAUCCCAGUGAUGGUCACUAGAGAGUGCAGGAGUUGCAUCUCCUCCUGGGGAGGGAAUGUUGGCUUUCAUCUUUUUAGUCCAAAGGUCCCCAGCCUGGGAUCACCCUAGGGUGUUCCCACCACCCUGGGUUCCUCUUGCCUCAUAGUUACCUAUGAUUUUCAGGCCUGGAUGAGAGGCAGGGCGAGUGAGCUCCAUGGAAAUACCUGUCUCCACAGCCUGCAGGUGCACACACGUACUGCCCAAGCUAUCCGGCUCUGCGGGCCCCAGUUCCACUUUUGACUCCAUCUGUCCUUGGAAACAAAAGGGAAGAAAGGCUGUUUCUUCCACCUCAUACUUUAAUUUAAAAUUUAGGCUAUGUUUUCUAGGGAUGCAUGGAAUCUAGUCAUGACCUAUUUGAAAUACUGAAAGACCAGAUAAAACCUCUCAGGACAGAAGGGGUGGGACAAUAGCACCAAAAUGCUUCUCCUGAUAAUUGUCCCAAACUCAUACCUCUAAACAUCACCAGCGCUGUUUCAGUGGAAGGCAGAAUUGGUGGAAGAAGGCUGUGGAAGUUAUUAUAAUUUUGGAGCUAAUAAAAACCUCUCUCAGACAGGCUUGGCCUUGGACGUUACUUGACUCCCACAGCAUACCAGAUGAAAUCUGGUCUCUGGGGACUUUUAAAUCAUCAAUACCCAAGCCUCAGCAAAGACAAAUUACAUAAGAAUGUCUGGGAGCUAUGGCUUUUGGGGAGAGUGAUUCCUCAAAACACUAACAUCAGAUAUAUCUAAUUCCAGGCUCUGCCACCGCUCAUCUGUGAGUCCUAGAGAAAUCACUUCAGUUACUUGAUCCGUGGUUUCCCCAAAAGUAAAAUGAAGCAAAUCAUGGUGCAAAUUUCAUGGGGCUGUUGUAAGGGUUUUAUGAUAUAAUAGCUGCAAAAGGCCCCGUACUGUGCCUGGCACACAUUAGGGAUUCAAACAUUGGCCAUUGUAAUUUUACUGUUAUUAUUCUUAUUGAUAAAUAUUGACUAAUCGCUGGCUAAAAUUAUACCCUUCUUUGAACCCUGGGGAAAGUAUAUGAACUUGAUGGUAGAUGGGCACUGCUGGGGGAAGAUUAAUGGAGGUGUCCUGUG